GCGCUGUGUUUCCUGUAAAUGAGCCGUAUUUGUAGUACAUCUCUGUUCAGCACAUAACCUGUCUGAGGUCAUUUGGAAGAGACAAACAUGUGGCCAAAUCAAGGACCUCCUUAUGCAGGACCUCCUUACGCAGGACCUCCUUACGCAGGACCUCCAGCCGCUCAGCCACACAAUCCUGCCUUUCCUGCACCUCCAAACCCAGCAUAUCCAGCCAUGACCAUCCCAUCAUGCCCUCCUGGACCCAACCCCGUCUACCCGCCCGGCAUGAACCAGCCCACAACCAUCCCUUACACCACACCAUACCAGCACCCAUUUCCUCCGGCUGUGGCCGGGCCGCACGGGCCGUUCCCUGGAGCAGGACAUCCCUGCCCUGUCCCGCAGUAUGGGGGUCCCCCAGCCGGAAUGAGCGUACCUGGACAUAAGAAACACAAGAAGAUGAAGAAGAUGAAGAAAGGGCAUAAAGCUCACAAGGAGCAUAAGCACAUGAAGCACGGCAAGCAUUCCUCGAGCAGCAGCAGCAGCAGCAGCAGUGAUUCUGACUGAAGUGACCCAUUCACAGCCUGUUUUCCUCUGAUUUCACAAGUGCCAGGGCAAAUAAGUACAGCCCAGCAGCAAUAACAUGAUAAACAAAUGCAGUGAUGCAUAGCACUUAAGUAAAUGUAUGUGUUUCUGUGAGUCUGAAUGCUUUUCUUAAUUAAAGAUCUAUAAAUAAUGAGCUGUUGUUGUGAGGAGAUCAUCUUCAUUAUAACUCGACUCGCACACUAAUGUCAGACGUUUGCCUCUAUUUGACACUGGACAAUUGUAAUUAAACAAGUUUACUUCCUUUAUGCAUUAAAGUUACUUUGAG
ensembl:lncRNA